AUGGACACACACUGCCAUGCUCCUGGGGUGCUGGGGUUCAGAGGAAGGGACUGGGCAGAGUGUGUCUGGGGGGGAAUCUGGCCAUGUCACUGCUGCUAGCAAGCCUGCCAGGACUGCUCAUUUCUUGCAAGAUGAAGCCCCAGGCAGCUAGUGUCUCUCUCAGAGCAGUUCUUUAGCACGGGGCCUGGUGUGGGGCAGAUGCUCGGGUUGCUGACUCAAUAAACAGUCAUCCUGGGUCCCUGGUUAAAGGUGGGAUCAAGAAUGGUGGGAAUGGAUGUUGCCACAGCCUCUAUGGAAGAAACCCACAGCAGAUGCUUGGACUUGCUC